ACAAGGUCGAGUAGGAAUGAAAAUUAACAAAUAAAUGUAAACAUAACCCUAAAGUGUCAGAGCCACCAAGUGUCAAACCAGUAUGCAAGGACUUGUUAAAAGAAGCAAAUUAGCAGUUAAGAGAGCUGAAUUGCAACUGAAAAUGAAAAAGGGAAGAAAAGAAGGGAAACAGGGAACAGCACACCGUCACAUCAUCAGAAAGAACCUUACAAUUACCAGAGAGAGACGUCGUGCAUGAGUUGAAUUAAAGAAUAUUAAAGAAGAAUGAGAAUAAUAUGAAAAUGUCCAAGGAAUAUCAAGGACGUACAGGCAACAAAUCAAGAAUCAAGAAAUCAAGAAG